UUAACCAUAGUUGGCUACUAUUUACACAGAGUUCGGUUAAAAAUAAACAAGCUUACAUAAUGAUUGAAUGACAAGUAAAUCAUUUAAAUUUAGACAUAAUAUUAUUUGGCUAAAAUUAAAUAACUUUCUAUGAUGCAUAUAACCGUGUUUCUUACUUAAAAACAAACAAGUAACUUAUCUAUUGGGAGAUAAGCACAGCUCGGCAAUUAACAAUGGAGCGAAUACUAUUUUUGACCGAGUAACUUGAUAAAAAUGAAACAAGGAAUUGGCUGCGUAGCCCGCAAAGUCAGCCAUUUCUAUCAAAUCAUAGUCGAGUGACGAACGUGUCUGUUGAAGCGCCGCCUCAGCACCUACAAGGCAGAUUCAAAUUUACAUUAAAAACUUUUCAUCAUCAUUUUGAAUUUUAAUCAAACUAUUAUAGAAGAGCAAGAUGCAGAAGACAAACUAUUAGGGCUCAAAAACAGCCAUGGACAACCGUAGAACUAAAGUGGCAAGACUCUACAGAGACGAAGCUAAUUGCUGCAAAAUAGUUAACUAUAGCUCCAAUACCUCAAUACAAUGAAUAUGCGGCUCUUAAAAAACCCAAAGGAUAUCUUCUGCUAGAAAAAGAUUGUGAAAACCAAAGGACAAUAUAUCACUGAAAGCUUCCCCACAAUCAAGCCAAAAAUAUUUGAAUUAGUAAGUUACUUCUGAUCAAGCAAGA